rnacentral:rRNA from 1 species
GGCGUAAAGGGCUCGCAGGCGGUUUCUUAAGUCUGAUGUGAAAGCCCCCGGCUCAACCGGGGAGGGUCAUUGGAAACUGGGGAACUUGAGUGCAGAAGAGGAGAGUGGAAUUCCACGUGUAGCGGUGAAAUGCGUAGAGAUGUGGAGGAACACCAGUGGCGAAGGCGACUCUCUGGUCUGUAACUGACGCUGAGGAGCGAAAGCGUGGGGAGCGAACAGGAUUAGAUACCCUGGUAGUCCACGCCGUAAACGAUGAGUGCUAAGUGUUAGGGGGUUUCCGCCCCUUAGUGCUGCAGCUAACGCAUUAAGCACUCCGCCUGGGGAGUACGGUCGCAAGACUGAAACUCAAAGGAAUUGACGGGGGCCCGCACAAGCGGUGGAGCAUGUGGUUUAAUUCGAAGCAACGCGAAGAACCUUACCAGGUCUUGACAUCCUCUGACAAUCCUAGAGAUAGGACGUCCCCUUCGGGGGCAGAGUGACAGGUGGUGCAUGGUUGUCGUCAGCUCGUGUCGUGAGAUGUUGGGUUAAGUCCCGCAACGAGCGCAACCCUUGAUCUUAGUUGCCAGCAUUCAGUUGGGCACUCUAAGGUGACUGCCGGUGACAAACCGGAGGAAGGUGGGGAUGACGUCAAAUCAUCAUGCCGCUUAUGACCUGGGCUACACACGUGCUACAAUGGACAGA